GGUCACGAGCGCCAGCGUCAAACCCCGGUUUGCUGGCCGGCAACCCUCCCACCGCGGCGGGGUGCUCCGGGUGACGACCUGGCCCGGCGCCGAGCGCGUCCGGGCAAGCGCGGAGG
rfam:Dermacoccus nishinomiyaensis strain M25, complete genome.